GGUCCAGUGGUGCACUGGUGCACGCUUGUUAAUUUUGGGCGGUUCAUUCGGACCGUCAUCUGCAUCAGCAAGAGGCGCCCGUUCGACUCGGGCUGGGACCA